UACGAAGGGUGCAAGCGUUACUCGGGAUUACUGGGCGUAAAGCGUGCGUAGGUGGUGAGUUAAGUCUGAUGUGAAAUCCCCGGGCUCAACCUGGGAAUGGCAUUGGAUACUGGCUCGCUAGAGUGCGGUAGAGGGUGGUGGAAUUCCCGGUGUAGCGGUGAAAUGCGUAGAUAUCGGAAGGAACACCAGUGGCGAAAGCGGCUUCCUGGUCCAGCACCGACGUUCAGGCACGAAAGCGUGGGGAGCAAACAGG
rnacentral:rRNA from 1 species